UACGGGGGGAGCAAGCGUUGUUCGGAUUUACUGGGCGUAAAGGGCGCGUAGGCGGUCAGCACAAGUCAGUUGUGAAAUCUCCGGGCUUAACUCGGAAAGGUCAACUGAUACUGUGCGACUAGAGUGCAGAAGGGGCAACUGGAAUUCUCGGUGUAGCGGUGAAAUGCGUAGAUAUCAGGAGGAACACCAAUUGCGAAGGCAGCUCGCUGGGACGUUACUGACGCUGAGACGCGAAAGCGUGGGGAGCAAGCAGG
rnacentral:rRNA from 1 species